GGUGGUAGGUGCUGGAAAACCAGGGAGAGGGAACAUCAAAGGGAGAAGUUGUUGGAGAAUGAAACAAAACUGAAAUUCCCCUAAGUGCAGUUGUAAAAAUCCCCACUAAGUAAUCCAUGGGAACUUUGUUGAUAAGGGUUUAUUAAGCACCUGGGUUUUCUUUCGUCUCUUGUCCUGCAGGCAACCGCAUGUCCCAACUAUUUUGAUGAUAUAGGACUGCAUUGCUAAACCACACACCAAAAAGGAACCUCCCAAAGGUGCUUAGAAAUUUAUUUUAAUAGAAUCUUAUGCCUGACAUACUUUGAGUGUUGCUGCGUGUUCUGUAAGGAAUUUCAGGCUGAAUUGAUUCCUUUUCUCUUUUCGUAUUCUUUAGCUCUCAGCGAAGAAUGGGUGUAGUGCAGCGGCGAAUAGACUGACAUACGAAAAAAGUACCUCCUAAAGCCUAAUUUGCCUUAUCUCUGCCAUGAGUUCACUAUGUGGUCUGUGGCCUUACAACUAGAUGGUGCACAGAAACUGCUUUGGAACAACUGAAAAUACUAUACAAAUGUUAAAUGUGAUAAUAAUAAUCAGCAAGUAGUUUUUGAAGAUGAUCCACCUGGGUUCAAAACAUAUGUUUUGUGUUGGAUAUUGGUAGCUUUUUCUGAUUUAAAAAAAACCCAUCCUGAUCACAUCUGGGAUUUUGUGUGCAUAUGUACACAUGAAUUCUUAUAAGAGCCAUAACCGCCAACCCAAUUUCCAGAACUAAGAAUCAGCACUCUGCCUGUAAGAGUCUGGGAAUAUUUGAGGUCAGUAAAUGAAUACCAAAAAGCAGAAAAAAGAACACCACUCAUGUUCCAGACAGAAAGCAUUUGCUGAUAUGUUGCAAUUCUGAGCUGGAACAUGCAAAGAGCACUCAUAUAUAAUAUAGUUACUGGAAUGUGUUGAUUACGACUAUUUGCUGUUCAGAAAUCAUUUUGUAAACUCACUGAAAAGGUCACAGCUUAUCUUUCUUAAAAAAAAAUAAAAGGCAGGGAUGGGGGGUUGAAGCACAGUGUUGUUGUUUCUUAGUCCCUAGCCUGCAAUUAUUCCUUCUGCAGCAGCCUUAGCCAACGUGGUGUCUUCCAUAUGUUUUAGACUACAGCUCUAAAGCACCUGGAACACAUCAGGGAAUGAUGAGAAUUAUGCUCUGAAACAUCUGGUGGGCACCAGGUUGACAAAGGCUGUUCUGUACCAGAAUGGCAGCCUCUGACUAUGACACUUCAGUCAAAUGACAUAUUUUUGUUAGAUUCCUCUGCCGUGUGCACAGGUUCUAAGUUGGCAGGCAAGUAAAGCAUGGUUCCUCGAAGGCACAAAGUAUAAAAACCAAUGAGACACACCAUGUUGUUGUAUGAGCUAUUAAUGCUAUAAAAGACACAUAUUUUUUUGUGGGCCAUACUGUUAAAUACUUAUAUAAAAUCUAAUUUGAUGUCACAUACCUAAUAUUUAUUUAUU